rnacentral:rRNA from 1 species
AGCGAACGCUGGCGGCAGGCUUAACACAUGCAAGUCGAGCGGGCGUAGCAAUACGUCAGCGGCAGACGGGUGAGUAACGCGUGGGAACAUACCUUUUGGUUCGGAACAACACAGGGAAACUUGUGCUAAUACCGGAUAAGCCCUUACGGGGAAAGAUUUAUCGCCGAAAGAUUGGCCCGCGUCUGAUUAGCUAGUUGGUGAGGUAACGGCUCACCAAGGCGACGAUCAGUAGCUGGCUGAGAGGAUGAUCAGCCACAUUGGGACUGAGACACGGCCCAAACUCCUACGGGAGGCAGCAGUGGGGAAUAUUGGACAAUGGGCGCAAGCCUGAUCCAGCCAUGCCGCGUGAGUGAUGAAGGCCCUAGGGUUGUAAAGUCUCUUUUGUGCGGGAAGAUAAUGACGGUACCGCAAGAAUAACGCCCCGGCUAACUUCGUGCCA